rnacentral:rRNA from 1 species
GCGGCGGACGGGUGAGUAACACGUGGGCAACCUGCCCUGCAGAUGGGGAUAACUCCGGGAAACCGGGGCUAAUACCGAAUAAUCAGCACUCUCGCAUGAGAGUACUCUGAAAGACGGUUUCGGCUGUCACUGCAGGAUGGGCCCGCGGCGCAUUAGCUAGUUGGUAAGGUAACGGCUUACCAAGGCGACGAUGCGUAGCCGACCUGAGAGGGUGAUCGGCCACACUGGGACUGAGACACGGCCCAGACUCCUACGGGAGGCAGCAGUAGGGAAUCUUCCACAAUGGACGAAAGUCUGAUGGAGCAAUGCCGCGUGAGUGAAGAAGGUUUUCGGAUCGUAAAGCUCUGUUGUGAGGGAAGAACAAGUACGGGAGUAACUGCCCGUACCUUGACGGUACCUCAUUAGAAAGCCACGGCUAACUACGUGCCAGCAGCCGCGGUAAUACGUAGGUGGCAAGCGUUGUCCGGAAUUAUUGGGCGUAAAGCGCGCGCAGGCGGUCUUUUAAGUCUGAUGUGAAAGCCCACGGCUCAACCGUGGAAGGUCAUUGGAAACUGAAGGACUUGAGUACAGAAGAGGAAAGCGGAAUUCCACGUGUAGCGGUGAAAU